CCCGCUCAGAAACUCAAAGGAAUUGACGGGGGCCCGCACAAGCGGUGGAGCAUGUGGUUUAAUUCGAUGAUACGCGAGGAACCUUACCUGGGCUCAAAUGUAUGUUGACGUAUUCUGAAAGGGAUACUUCUUCGGACAAUAUACAAGGUGCUGCAUGGUUGUCGUCAGCUCGUGCCGUGAGGUGUCGGGUUAAGUCCCAUAACGAGCGCAACCCCUAUCAUUAGUUGCCAUCAGGUCAAGCUGGGGACUCUAAUGAAACUGCCUACGCAAGUAGUGAGGAAGGUGGGGAUGACGUCAAAUCAGCACGGCCCUUACGUCCAGGGCUACACACGUGCUACAAUGGCCGGUACAAAGGGCAGCUACCUGGUGACAGGAUGCUAAUCUCAAAAGCCGGUCUCAGUUCGGAUCGGAGUCUGCAACCCGACUCCGUGAAGUUGGAUUCGCUAGUAAUCGCGCAUCAGCCAUGGCGCGGUGAAUACGUUCCCGGGCCUU
rnacentral:rRNA from 1 species